CGUCAUAAAAUGGUCCCAUGGUCUAGUGGUCAGGACAUUGGACUCUGAAUCCAGUAACCCGAGUUCAAGUCUCGGUGGGACCUGUA